rnacentral:RNase_P_RNA from 1 species
CAAGUCGGCCGGACGGCCGCGGGCGGCUCGCCGCUCGAGGAAAGUCCGGGCUCCACAGAGCAGGGCGCUGGACAACACCCAGUCGGGGUGACCCGAAGGAGAGUGCCACAGAAAUGACACAGCCGCCGGGCGCGCCAGCGCCUGACGGCGACGGUGAAAUGGUGGGGUAAGAGCCCACCGGCGGCCGGGUGACCGGCCGGCCAGGUAAACCCCGCCCGGAGCAAGGCCGAACAGGGACGGGACGCACGUCGCCCCAGGGGUUGCUCGCCCCAUGUCCCGGGUCAGGCCGCUCGAGGCGCCGGGCAACCGGCGUCCCAGAUGGAUGGCCGUCCCCCACCCCCGCGGUGGGGACAGAACCCGGCUUACAGGCCGACUUGCACU